rnacentral:misc_RNA from 1 species
GGAUAAACCAGAUUAUGCUUAUCUCAAGAGAAUUUUCCGUGACCUUUUCAUUCGUGAAGGUUUUCAGUUUGAUUAUGUAUUUGACUGGACCAUAUUGAAAUAUCAGCAAUCACAGCUUGCCAAUAUUCCAUCUCGUGCUCUUGGCGGUACUGCUGGGCCAAGUUCAGGGACGCCUCAUGGUCUUGCUAAUGUCGAAAAGAAAUCAGGUGGUGAAGAAGGACGGCCAACUGGUUGGUCUUCAUCAAAUCUGACACGUAAUAGGAGCACAGGGCUCAAUUUCAAUGCUGGAAGCUUAUUGAAGCAAAAAGGCACAGUUGCUAAUGAUUUAUCUGUGGGUAAAGAGUUACCUAGUUCUAAUUUUUUCCGGUCAAGUGGAUCAGCAAGGCAACCUAAUGUCUCUAGCAGUCGAGACCCAGUGAUUACUGGGGGUGAACCUGACCUCUCCCGCCCUCAGACACUAGAUGCAGCAGGCGCAGCAUCACUGCGUAAAAUAUUUAAUACUACCCAGAAGACUUCACCAGUUGUGUCUUCAGAGCACAAGCGCAGCUCCUCCACAAGAAACACAAACCUAAAGAAUUUAGAGUCUGCCAUCAAAGGAAUAGAGGGUUUAAGCUUUCGAUGAUGAGGUACUGGAUUAGUAGCUCUGCUUUGUCACAAUUCCCCCUCUACUGUAUAUCUUGGCACAGCAAACACACCAACAUGGCGGAGUAUGAGUUCUGAUAUUAGUUGUUUCCAGGAGGAACCAUAAACAAUGCAACCCCCGCAAACUCACAAAUCCCAGUUUAUGUUUUGUCCAUACAGACACAGUUAUAGGCACUUAUCGUAUUCUUUUUCGUCUCUAUCUCUCCUGUUCUUGUUCUAUCGUGUUAUUCAUAUUUAUCUUAUGUUGUGAAUUAUGAAGAGGCCCAUAUAUAAUUGCCGAUUUAUAUGGUCCACGAGAUGUUUGACGCUAGCAGAUUCUUCUGCUUUGGACAUGAGCAAACUCUCUUUUGUUUCAAG